GUAUGAGAUUAGUUCAAUUUUUACAUUCAAAAUAAGGUAAUACUAUUUUCUAUGCUUUUCUGGACAGAUCAUCUUUGUAAAUGGUAGUCUUUUGACUAUUUUAAUAACAGCCAGCAGCAAAGGAAUUUUGAGAAUAUCAAGUGAGAUUCUACAGUAUAGAAGCACACUUAUUUCCCCAUGCCAGAAAGAACUUUCCAGAUACUUCAGGAUCCAGCUAGCAUUAAUAUAAAACAGAAUCCAAGAUUAAUGAAGCCUGACUGAUAGAGUUGGCUUAGCUGCCUGACCUAAGGAUUCUUUCCCUAAGGAGAAGAGUGGGGAGGAAAAAUAGGGAAGAUAUUGCAUCUAUUCCAAGGAAAGUGUGGCAUGGGACCCAAAGAUUGAAAAUGUUUGGAAUUAACUUAUCCUGACAGUGGUUCCUAUUCUUUUCAAUUUCUGGACCUACUCAUCCCUUUUAUUAUGUAGCCUAUCUCAUAUUCUUCCAUUGGAUCUAAAUUUCCAUGAGAAAUAAAAAUCAAUUUUUAUGUGCUAAUUACACCAUAUAUUUUCAUGAGAUAUGUGUAACAGUUGUCUUUA
rnacentral:lncRNA from 1 species